AAAGUUAAAUGUUAUCUUUUUAUUGAUUUUUGUUGUGUUCGACUCUAUAUAAAGAAAGAGACAGGAUCUCAGAAACAAAAAUGAAGGUAAAGAUAUAUUCCAUGGAUACAUACAAUUGGAAUAUAGGUCUACAUGAAUGUUUUUGAAAUGCUUAAUUUUGAUUGCUAAUUUUUGGAGUUCAAGAAUAUACUGUGAUAGUGCCUUCUUUUAUUUUAAAAAAUUAAUGUUUUGUGUUUUUUGAGUAUACUUGUCUGCUGGGUGCCUUUGAUUGCUUGAUAUCUUUAUUGAUAGACCUUAACAUGUUGUUGGCUUUUUUAUUCCUUUAAAUUUUCCACACUACAAAUUUAUAUGUCUCCAUGUGGCAUGAUUAUCUAGAACCAUACAUCAAAGUAUUCACUUUGUUAUCGUCUAUCAGGAUAUGCUUUUGAGUACACUGUUUUAUAGCACUAAAUUUUUGUUUAUUAAUUUGUUAUGUGGAUAAAAGUGGAAAAUAUUUGUGUAAAGUAUGUUUUAAAUUUUAUUUGUAACCACAUUUUCUCCAAAGCUUUGUCGGGAAUCGUGAAAGAGGAUAUAGUGCCUCUUGGGGCGGCCGGUUCGUUUGUAAAUAAGUUUUGUUAUACCUAUGGUUUUGUGCUACUAUUAGUCAAUAUCCAAAUCAUCAAUACGUUAGAGAUUUGAUACAAUUGUUGCAAGCAGGUGAACAAGCAUCACUAAUGUGCAGUAAUUUUCAUGGAUUUAUAUAUGGAUUCAUGUACAGAGAAGAAGAGCAAUAAUUUAGUAGCAAGUUGAUACAUGAAUUCAUAAUAAGGAUUGUGAAAUCUGGUAAAAACAAUGAAGUGUGAGUAAGAUUUUAUGACCAUCCUGCCCAUUUCAGAAUGAAAGAAUUUUGCUUAAUCACUGAAUUACCUUGCCAUGAAGCAUCUAUUAAUCUUGACGGUAGUAAUCCUCGACUUAGAAACCAGUAUUUCAAUGGUGUGAAAAGGAUUUAUAUGAGAAUACUUCGUGAUGUCUUCCAUUCAUGUGAAGAUCGAGAAGAUAAAUUGAAAUUUGAUCGGUUAUGUUGAUAGAGUGUGUUUUCAAAUCAACUGAAAGACACAAUGAUUAUAGAAUGCUAGAUAUGGUUAAGCAGCUUGAUGAUUUUCUUUUGUAUCUAUGGGGUCGAAAGGCAUACUUUGUUUUGUUGAAUUCAUUGCAACAAUCACACCUAGAAAGAAUAUAGAGAAUGCAACAAGCUGAGCAAAUGGAGUGUAAAUACGCUACAUGAAUAUCCUCUUGCUUUUCAGUUUUGGAUAUACAAAAUAUUUCCCAAUAUUGGAAAGAAAUUUGGACACCGAAGAAAUAAAACAUUACAAAUUUCAAGAAUGCAUAAAUGGAAGCUGAAGGAAAUAUUGAUAGACAAAAUUGUAAAACAAUAUUUGACGACACACGAGUAUUACAACCAACAGAAGAAGAUUUGCAGACAGUGUGGUCACUACUCUGUCAUUACCAUUACACAAUAAACAUAUUAUAUUGGACGUAAAUGUCAUUGGAGAACUUGACAACACUGUACCACAAAUUUCACAAGGCAAUCGUGUGCAGCAAACAAUUAAUGCUGAUGAUACUGGUACUUCUAGAACAUACACUUUAGUUGGAGUGGAGGCUAAUUAUGCUUCUGUUACUAUGUAACAAAAGAACAGAUGGAAGAUAUGUUCGGUACACAUAGGCAGUAUGUAUUUGGUCUGUGUGAUAACUUGAAGGCACACUUGGUUGAAGAAUCAAGAAAACAACAAGUUGAAUAUCUUGAAAUCCAAAAGCAAAUGUUUGAAGAACGGUAAAAAUGGCACAAACAUCAAUAUCAAGAGCUGCACUCUGCCUUCCAAUCUAGUAUGCAAUCUACAUCAUAUGUGGAUACUUAAGCUUUUUGCCAGGAUUUUUAUGGUACACACAUGGUUGAAGAAUUAAGAACACAAGAAGCUCAUUAUCAAACAAUUCUUAAUAAUAAGAAAGAAUUCUUUCAGCAACAACAAAAAUGGCAAGAAGAUCACUAUUAUGGAAUGUAAUCUUAUGUGGACAACAGUUUAACAUCAGUGAGACCUUACAUUGAUGAACAGAACAACAUGUUGAAUAGAAUGGGUGUUGGAGAAUCAAAUAUGGAAGCUAUUGUUGGUUGUUUAAAGCAAGAUACUCCUGGCUCUAGCAAUAAAAUUAGUGGCAAGAAAGGAAGACCUGAACAAACUCAACCUGAUAUGUCCACAAAAGAGAAGUAUAAUAGGAAGAUAAAAUCUUUAGGUUAUCCUCUAGAGCACUAUUCUAUGGAGAGGUAUUCAACAGUUAAAGAUUGGGUGAUGCUGAAUAAAUCAAGGUAAAAUAGUUACAUUGUAUUCAUUUAACACUAACCUAAACUAUGAUAUACAGUACAUAUUGGAAUUUUGGAGGCAAUAUGUAUGGAAGAGACACACUAAAAAAUAUAAUAGAUGAAGACAAAGAUAUCAACGUUGCUGUUAGUGAAGGUUACAAAUCAUAAUUAAUUUCAAUCUACACUUGACAUAUCUAAUUUAUAUAUAUUAAUUGUAUUAGACUAUAGAGAUGGAGUUAAAGUUGUUGAGGGGAUUGAUUAAAGAAAGCUAUACUCUACUCUAUAAAGAGUAUGUAAUUUUGGACUUCAAUUUUGAAACUGAAUACAUUCAUCAAAUGAUGUAGCAAAGAAAUUUAAAAAAAGGAAGUCCUUGUGUACAUGAUCGUCAAAUGGAUUUCAUUGUGUUACAAAAAUACAUUAGUGGCAAUUUGCCAGAGGCUAGUCAUCCAUGGGUAGCAUGCAACUAUUUAUUAAUUCAAUGUUCAUAUCCAAGCGAUUAUAAUUGUUAUAUUUUUGUUGUUGAUUUUCGUGAGUUGAAAUUUCAAAUAUAUGAUUGUAGUCAUGACAUUCACACAUAAAGAGAAAUCAGGAAACAAGUAGGUCCAGUAUUUGAAAUACUUCAAAUGUUAUUGACAAAUUCAAAUUUUUGUUCUAGCAUACCUGAUUUAAGAAAAUACAGAAACAAGCGGCUUAAAGUGGAGAUUAUAACUUACUUGUCUUGCGCAAAAUAAUGGAAUAUUUGAAUUUGAAGCUUCAUCUGAAGACCUGAAAAUGUCUCUCUUUGCUUGAGGUGACAAAUUCUCUUGAGAGUGUAUAUAGGUACUUUUUUCACCUGUUGUACCUAUACCUUGAAAUAUCAACAUUUUCUUGGCUUUUUUACUCCUGGAUUUGUCUGGUCUAAAUCUAUCAUAGAGAUAAUGUCAAAUCUAUAGCUUGAUGAAUUAGGCUCAGUUUGGAAUGCUUUCAAGUAGAACACUCGUUCAGGAUUUUUUAUUGUUUUAACGACAGCUUCAAAGUAUGUUUGUGAAUCUUGUAUGUUAAUGAUGUAUUCUAUAAAUAUUGCUUGACCAACAUGUUUAUGGAGCGGCAAAAUGUUGAAGUUACAUCAAAAUUCUUACAAAAUUGGUUUGCUCCAUCAGAGAAUGUGCA